rnacentral:rRNA from 1 species
UUUAUGGAGAGUUUGAUCCUGGCUCAGGAUGAACGCUGGCGGCGUGCCUAAUACAUGCAAGUCGAGCGAACGGACGAGAAGCUUGCUUCUCUGAUGUUAGCGGCGGACGGGUGAGUAACACGUGGAUAACCUACCUAUAAGACUGGGAUAACUUCGGGAAACCGGAGCUAAUACCGGAUAAUAUUUUGAACCGCAUGGUUCAAAAGUGAAAGACGGUCUUGCUGUCACUUAUAGAUGGAUCCGCGCUGCAUUAGCUAGUUGGUAAGGUAACGGCUUACCAAGGCAACGAUGCAUAGCCGACCUGAGAGGGUGAUCGGCCACACUGGAACUGAGACACGGUCCAGACUCCUACGGGAGGCAGCAGUAGGGAAUCUUCCGCAAUGGGCGAAAGCCUGACGGAGCAACGCCGCGUGAGUGAUGAAGGUCUUCGGAUCGUAAAACUCUGUUAUUAGGGAAGAACAUAUGUGUAAGUAACUGUGCACAUCUUGACGGUACCUAAUCAGAAAGCCACGGCUAACUACGUGCCAGCAGCCGCGGUAAUACGUAGGUGGCAAGCGUUAUCCGGAAUUAUUGGGCGUAAAGCGCGCGUAGGCGGUUUUUUAAGUCUGAUGUGAAAGCCCACGGCUCAACCGUGGAGGGUCAUUGGAAACUGGAAAACUUGAGUGCAGAAGAGGAAAGUGGAAUUCCAUGUGUAGCGGUGAAAUGCGCAGAGAUAUGGAGGAACACCAGUGGCGAAGGCGACUUUCUGGUCUGUAACUGACGCUGAUGUGCGAAAGCGUGGGGAUCAAACAGGAUUAGAUACCCUGGUAGUCCACGCCGUAAACGAUGAGUGCUAAGUGUUAGGGGGUUUCCGCCCCUUAGUGCUGCAGCUAACGCAUUAAGCACUCCGCCUGGGGAGUACGACCGCAAGGUUGAAACUCAAAGGAAUUGACGGGGACCCGCACAAGCGGUGGAGCAUGUGGUUUAAUUCGAAGCAACGCGAAGAACCUUACCAAAUCUUGACAUCCUUUGACAACUCUAGAGAUAGAGCCUUCCCCUUCGGGGGACAAAGUGACAGGUGGUGCAUGGUUGUCGUCAGCUCGUGUCGUGAGAUGUUGGGUUAAAGUCCCGCAACGAGCGCAACCCUUAAGCUUAGUUGCCAUCAUUAAGUUGGGCACUCUAAGUUGACUGCCGGUGACAAACCGGAGGAAGGUGGGGAUGACGUCAAAUCAUCAUGCCCCUUAUGAUUUGGGCUACACACGUGCUACAAUGGACAAUACAAAGGGCAGCGAAACCGCGAGGUCAAGCAAAUCCCAUAAAGUUGUUCUCAGUUCGGAUUGUAGUCUGCAACUCGACUACAUGAAGCUGGAAUCGCUAGUAAUCGUAGAUCAGCAUGCUACGGUGAAUACGUUCCCGGGUCUUGUACACACCGCCCGUCACACCACGAGAGUUUGUAACACCCGAAGCCGGUGGAGUAACCUUUUAGGAGCUAGCCGUCGAAGGUGGGACAAAUGAUUGGGGUGAAGUCGUAACAAGGUAGCCGUAUCGGAAGGUGCGGCUGGAUCACCUCCUUU